GUGGAUGCACCCUAGUUAGAGUUGUCGAUGGAGAGGGUCUGGCUUUGUUGGUCCUAGUUCUCAAUUUGGCUUGGGAUUAAAUUCAAUUUUUUGGGCGAGCAAUUCAUUGUAUUCCAUGCAUAGGAAAGAGGACAUAUACAGGGAAGGGAACAUGAGACAACUUUUUAUAGGUUACUAACCUCGUUUGCAUGUCAAAACCUAUUCUUCAACCUCGUUUCCAAGAGGAAAAUCAGGAAAAAAAAUACUAAACCUAUUUCAUUUUAUGUUUUCUUUUCCAUGCGUUUGCCUUGUAGAUUUGUUACUGAUAGCUAUUAGAUCUCAUAUCCAAGCGCUUCUUUCUAUGUUGUUUGAUGCUAUAAUAUAGUCACAACUCCAAAUUAACUGUUUGAACUUCCUUUUUUCCCUCCUACAAAAACAGGACAGUCAGGGUAAGGUGAAGAUCUACCCCAAAGAACUAGAUAUUAUCUGGGUAGUGAUGGCCGCUACUGGCGACUUCCUGAAAGGGACGAUGGACCUGUGGAGCUGCUCCAAGUUUGCUGGCUAGAAGUUACUGGUUCCUUGAAAAACGUAGAGAGCAACAAGGACUACCAAGUACUGUUCAAUGUGAGCACGAAACCGGAUGCGUUCGGGUGGAGCGACAGCCCGGUCUACCUAAUGGUCAAGAUCGGGGAUAAGUACACCUGGCAGAAGGCUGACCUGAGCCAGCUGAAGAAAACCCCGACAAGAUCCCAUACGCACCUCUUAAGUUCAAGGUCACCGGGGACGAGAAGGUUUCCUUUGGAUUAUACGAGAUAUGGAGAGGGAGAUGGAAGGGAGGCCUGCUCAUCCACGAGGUCAUCAUCGAACCAGUUGCCAACAAAUAAAUAUAUGAACUAUAUAUGCUUUAUACAAGGCCAUAAAGCUUCCUACUCCACUCUCUUUAAUGCUCAUUUCAAUUAGGAGAAGGCUUGAUCAGUUCCAUUUCGUGUUCUAUGGUGAGGAUAAACUAUAUAUACUCUGUAAUAAAAUUCCACUAUAGUGUGUGCUAAAAUAAAGUGGUCCUAUAUUCUCCUGGUUCUUCCUGA